AAUAUUGGACAAUGGGCGAAAGCCUGAUCCAGCCAUGCCUCGCGUGUGAAGAAGGNCUNNGUAUUNUNAAGCACUUUUAGUUGNNNNNAAUGGCAGUACGUUAAUACCUUUCUGUAUUGACGUUACCGAUAGAAUAAGUACCGGCUAACUCGGUGCCAGCUGCCGCGGUAAUACAGAGGGUGUAAGCGUUACUCGGAAAUACUUGGCGUAAAGCGAGCGUAGGUGGUUCGUUAAGUUGGAUGUGAGAGCCCCGGGCUCAACCUGGGAACUGCAUUCAAAACUGGCGGGCUAGAGUACGGUAGAGGGUGGUGGAAUUUCCUGUGUAGCAGUGAAAUGCGUAGAUAUAGGAAGGAACACCAGUGGCGAAGGCGACCACCUGGACUGAUACUGACACUGAGGUGAGAAAGCGUGGGGAGCAAACAGG
rnacentral:rRNA from 1 species